rnacentral:pre_miRNA from 1 species
CUCGACCACGGGUAUUCUUAGGUUGAUAAUACGGAUGUCGAUGUUAUUGCUUGAGAAUACACGUAGCUGAG